rnacentral:lncRNA from 1 species
UUUACACGAACGCCCUUCCAGGACUCUGUCUGCUUUUGGGGUGGAAGUGCCCUGCCAAAAACUCCAGCUCUCCAUGCUGGCUGUGUGGCCAGCAUACCUCCUGCCUUUUCAACGAUUCCUCUGCCCUGGACAGAGAGCGGUGUCUCAUAACAGUUUGGAAACUACAAAAGUUUCCCUGGCAGGAUGAAUGAUUGACUCGGCAACAUGUUCUUGCCUUUUGGAGUUGCCCUCCAAUUUUUCCAGGCUUGAUUCUGUAAAUCAUUUCAUCUUGUAAAAAUACUGGGCUGUGAGCACGGAUGAUCUCAAAGAUGAGGAAACAGAAGCUGGGAUAUGUGAGUAAACAUUUCCAAGGUCCUGCAGCUAAUCAAUGGUUGACAACUUCUUUCCUCUGCCUAUGUUGCCAUCCAUGUCAUGGUUUGUGUCAAGACUCUAGGAGAAGUCUACCAUCAGCACCACAGCUACUGUGCACAAAUCCAGAAUGCCAGACUGAAGUCAGAAGGAAAGAUCCUUUAUGCAUUGAAAGAAGAAAGUAGAACCAUUUCUGGGUCCCAGCUGUGGGAAGAGCUCCUGUGGCUGUGGAUUCUGACUUCUGGGUCUUGGCACAAGGUGUGGCCAGCAAGCUAAGCUGUCCUGAGGGUGUGCAGGGCCAGGGGCUGAAGACGGUGUGGGAGCAUCCACAGACUGGUUUGUCUCAAGAAGAAUGUUACUAAAUAUGAAAUAGCAAAAUCUGCAAGUGGGUUUACUUUUUCCCCAUAGAUUAGAAUGGAUUCAAUAUUAUCUCUUUAUUAGCGUCACUUUUAAUCACUUGCAUAGCAAGUAGGACAGAAAGGUGGCUUGAAAGUCAAUCAUGUGAGAAUUCCAGAUAAAUUGACUUUGCUCACAACAAUCUGUUAUUCAUGUGACUAUCAACUGUCAUGUGUGCUGGGGCAAAAAAAGAAGAUAAGGAUUCACUGGUCUCAGAUAGUUCCAAGAGGGGAAACCCGGGAUUGAACUUUUUCAGCCUUCUAUGGUAAAAUUUCCUGCUCUGUCGGUGCGCCAAAGCUUUUUUCAGUUUCCUAAACUCCCAUAUUCAAGAAGAUAAGCUAUUUUCUCUUCUUUCUCAUCCUUCCUUGACAAAGCAAAGCAUAUUUUCAUUGUCUACUCUGUGUCAUCCAUGCUUGGUUCCUGUCCUCAAAGAGCUUAUAGUUCAAAUAAAGGAGAGGGAGCAUUUUACAAGGGAAUUAAAGGUAAAAGAUUCUGAAAGCCAGUUAAAAAAGUCGUGAGGGAGGGGUCUGGGAGAAGCUGAGCAGGGGUGAAAGGGUAUGAAACAUUAUGGAAGGAGAACAGGGGAGCACCCUGACUACUGGGUGGAAACACCAAUCAGUGGGUAGAAACCACACAGUGGUAACACUGAUCAGUGGGUAGAAAACAAUGACAGCAGGUAUAUGAGGCAUGGAACACUUGGCUUAUUGUAAAAUUUUCAAAAUAUGCGGUCCUUUCUAUCCACUAGGGGAUGGGAGUUGUCUUUGUAUAUCAACCAUGGAAGGGCUGUUUUGGUUCAUCAUUCUGUGGUCUACCUGGGUAGACCUGAUGCAGCCGUGUUUCUGAGGAAAGGAAGAACAGCUUUUGUUAUGUGAUAUUUAAUGGUAGAUGUAGUGCCAUGGAAUGAUGCAGAUUUCAUUCAGAUAUUCUUGGAUCUUGGCCCCAGGACUCACUCAUUCUUCCCUAUAUGAGCAUUGGUAGUUACAGGUUUUAUCCUUCCUUUAAUUGUAAGUCUUUUGAAGCCAAAAACUGUAUCCAAUUUUUCACUGUCUCCUAACAGUACUUAGCAGUGUGUGAUGCAUCAUAGGGAGUUUGUAAAUGUUUGGAUAAAUAAAGGGAAAACAAAAAC